UACGAAGGGGGCUAGCGUUGCUCGGAAUUACUGGGCGUAAAGGGCGCGUAGGCGGAUAGUUUAGUCAGAGGUGAAAGCCCAGGGCUCAACCUUGGAAUUGCCUUUGAUACUGGCUAUCUUGAGUUCGGGAGAGGUGAGUGGAAUGCCGAGUGUAGAGGUGAAAUUCGUAGAUAUUCGGCGGAACACCAGUGGCGAAGGCGACUCACUGGCCCGAUACUGACGCUGAGGCGCGAAAGGCGUGGGGAGCAAACAGG
rnacentral:rRNA from 1 species